rnacentral:rRNA from 1 species
AGUAACGGCGAGUGAAGCGGCAACAGCUCAAAUUUGAAAUCUGGCUUCGGCCCGAGUUGUAAUUUGUAGAGGAUGUUUCGGGUACCGCUGCGGUUUAAUUUUCUUGGAACAGAAUGUCAAAGAGGGUGAGAACCCCGUCUUGGACUGCGGUAGGACCUAUAUGAAACUCCUUCGACGAGUCGAGUUGUUUGGGA